UGAAUGGGGCAACCCAGCAUGUUGAAGACAUGUUACACCGUAAGGUGAGCAAACCCGGAGAACUGAAACAUCUAAGUACCCGGAGGAGAAGAAAACAAUAGUGAUUCCGUAAGUAGCGGCGAGCGAACGCGGAGUAGCCCAACCCAGUCUUGUUACGGCAAGGCUGGGGUUGUAGGACCACGUUAUUGGUUGUGUAAUGAAUUAGAAUCCGUUGGAAAUCGGACCCAUAGAGGGUGAUAGUGCCCGUAUAAGUAAAGAACAUUACCCAUAGUGGUAUGCCUGAGUAGUGCGGGACGGGAGUAAUCCUGUAGGAAUUCCCCG
rnacentral:rRNA from 1 species